rnacentral:rRNA from 1 species
UACGUAGGGUGCAAGCGUUAAUCGGAAUUACUGGGCGUAAAGCGUGCGCAGGCGGCUUUGCAAGACAGAUGUGAAAUCCCCGGGCUUAACCUGGGAACUGCAUUUGUGACUGCACGGCUAGAGUACGGCAGAGGGGGAUGGAAUUCCGCGUGUAGCAGUGAAAUGCGUAGAUAUGCGGAGGAACACCGAUGGCGAAGGCGGCAUCCUGGACCAAUAUUGACGCUGAGGAGCAAAAGCCAGGGGAGCAAACGGG